AAGCAUCUUCGGAUGUGUAUAAAGUGGCGAACGGCUGAGUAACACGUGGGCAACCUGCCCUUUGCACUGGGAUAGCCCCGGGAAACCGAGGUUAAUACCGGAUACUCCAUAUUUGUCGCAUGGCGAAUAUGGGAAAGCUCCGGCGGCAAAGGAUGGGCCCGCGGCCUGUUAGCUAGUUGGUGGGGUAGUGGCCUACCAAGGCAAUGAUGGGUAGCCGGGUUGAGAGACCGACCGGCCAGAUUGGGACUGAGACACGGCCCAGACUCCUACGGGAGGCAGCAGUGGGGAAUCUUGCACAAUGGGCGAAAGCCUGAUGCAGCGACGCCGCGUGCGGGAUGAAGGCCUUCGGGUUGUAAACCGCUUUCAGCAGGGACGAGGCCGCAAGGUGACGGUACC
rnacentral:rRNA from 1 species